UGAUGUUGUGCUGAAUAAGCUCUUCUGGACACUCUUGCUAAGCCCAUAACUAAAUAGUCAGCAACUAAAAAACUUAUCCCAUUUUAAGUGAUAUGUAAAAUCACAGAACAUAAAAAAGAAAUGAAUCUUAAGCUACCUCCAUCGGAGUCAGGGUCACAAAUUCCUAUUUUAUGGGGAUUAUGGUCUCUGAAAUAUUUCAGAAUUACAGAAACAAUCAAAAAAUGCCUUCCAGACAUGAAUCUGAAUGGUAGAUUCUCCAUCAACACAGACAUUCUGUUUUGGUAUCAGUGACUCCCAGGCUGGAUCAGCAACCAUCUCCCACAUGCCUGGAAUAACUGCUGGCUGCGUCCGUCACAGGCUGGUGGUGGUUAUUUGGAGAGAUGUUUACAUGUCUCAAACCUCCACACAGGCAAGAGAUAAAUUCUCCGAAGAAUUAAAACAUACAUUCUGAAUUGGACUCAAGAGAAAAAUCCUGUGGAUUCUUAACCCCAGGCAAAAUGCAGACCAUAUAAUGAAUACAAUGUGUUUUCGGGGGGCGGGGAGGGGCGGGGAGAAACAUCACCACCACCAGCAAUGCACUUUUUCAAGGUCUUUGGCAGAAACUGAUAUAUAAACAGAUUUUUUAAAGCAACUAACCUCAGAAUUGUUUAUUUCAUUCUCUUUAAAAAGAAAGGAUCAUCUAUUUUAUCAAAGCACAGUGGAACAAUUUCCUUCUUUCAGAAAUGAAAUAACAAAGAUGCAUUAUUCCCUGCGGUGGGAGCAAGUGUCUUUCCUCAUUUCCCCAUCAGCCGCCAUCUGCACACGUGGCUCCAGCAACGGCCUGUGCUUCAUGGCUGGGAGUCAGCACAGCACAUGGUAAAAUUCAUCACAAGUUUCUCUUUGGAUGCAAUCCAGAAAGAAAAGGAUUUCAGAUUUAGAGAAAAGGAAUGGGUGGUCAAGGGAUUCUAAAAUUCAGUCUUCAAAACAAGCUGGAGCCUUGCGUGCCUUCACCGUCCACAGAAACACAACAGUUAUUAAAUGCAGCAUCCGUGUGUUCCUUUCCACGCCAACUGCAUAUGGCAGCAGGUUCUGCCUUGUGUCUGUGGCUGCUCUGGAGGCGGUGUCUCAGUGGUCAGAGACGCCUAUGCUUUACCCACAAACAGACUCCCUGAUGUGGUUUGGCUGUGUCCCCAUUCAAAUCUCAACUUGAAUUGUAUCUCCCAGAAUUCCCACAUGUUUUGGGAGAGACCAAGGCAGAGGUAAUUGAAUCAUGGGGCUGGUCUUUCCUGUGCUGUUCUCAUGAUAUAAGUAAGUCUCACGAUAUCUGAUGGGUUUAUCAGGGGUUUCUGCUUUUGCUUCUGCAUCAUUUUCUCUUGCUGCCACCAUGUAAGAAGUGCCUUUCACCUCCCAUCGUGAUUCAGAGGCCUCCCCAGCUGUGUGGAGCUGACGCAACGGAGUAUCUGAAGCUGUGAUGUCGACAAAUGCACAUACAGACAAGCAGUCAAAGAGGCGGAUGGUCCAAGAGUCAAUACAUGUAAGACACCAUCCUUCCCAAGCUAACCUUGCAUAGUAUUUGCAGUUUAGAAGGUAUUAAUAUUAGAGCAGUUCCUAACUGAAGGCCCACAGAAGAUGAAGUCAGAAUGGAAGACUGAGGCAAAGGAGGGUGGGCCAUUGCAGGAACUUCGCACUAGACAACAUAAAGGAUUCUCCUGCUGACUCAUCUAACAAAUGUUCACUGAGUACGUACUAAAAACUGAGUACCUGCUCACUCUGAUGAUAGUUUCUUUUGCUGUUACAGAAUGGGAGAAAAUCUUUGCAAUCUACCCAUCUGACAAAAGGCUAAUAUCCAGAAUCUACAAAGAACUUAAACAAAUUUGCAUGAAAAAAACAACCCCAUCAAAAAGUGGGCAAAGGAUAUGAACAGACACUUCUCAAAAGAAUACAUUUAUGCAACCAAAAGGCAUAUGAAAAAAUGCUCAUCAUCACUGGUCAUCAGAGAAAUGCAAAUCAAAACCACAAUGAGAUACCAUCUCAAGCGAUCAUUAAAUGAUCAUUAAAAAGUCAGGAUUUUAAUGGCGAUCAUUAAAAAGUCAGGAAACAAUACAUGCUGGAGAGGAUAUGGAGAAAUAGGAACACUUUUAUGCUGUUGGUGGGAGUGUAAACUAGUUCAACCAUUAUGGAAGACAGUGUGGUGAUUCCUCAAGGAUCUGGAACUAGAAAAACCAUUUGACCCAGUGAUCCCUUUACUGGGUAUAUACCCAAAGGAUUAUAAAACAUACUACUAUAAAGACACAUGCACACGUAUGUUUAUUGCACUAUUCACAAUAGCAAAGACUUGGAACCAACCCAAAUGUCCAUCAAUGAUAGACUGGAUUAAGAAAAUGUGGCACAUAUACACCAUGGAAUACCAUGCAGCCAUAAAAAAGGAUGAGUUCAUGUCCUUUACAGGGACAUGGAUGAAGCUGGAAACCAUCAUUCUGAGCAGACUUCUGAGGCUGUGUCAUGUGUGUGUCUGUAACCUUGGCAAAAUAAAUUUUCUAAAUUGACUGAGAUCUGUCUCAAAUAUUUUGUGUUCGCAAGACAAUGAGAAAUAAGUCUCUGUUGUUUAUAAGCCACCCAAUCUAUUGCCCUUUAACGGCUGAAUGAACUGGGACACUGGGUUUGCUUAUUAGGUCAAUUUUGUCAAUCUAGUUUUUCAUCUCUUCUAUGUUAUCACUGAUGUUUAGUUGGUCUGUUUUACCUUUCUGUUACUAAAGUAUAUUGGAUUAUUCCAACAUGGUUGUGGGCUUAUCUAUUUCUCCUUCGGUUUUUUCCCAUUUUUGUUUUAUAUAUCUUGAGGUUAUUUUUUAGGUGCACUAAUAUUUUAUUAGAUUAAAAUCUAAAUUUUAUUUAGAUUAAGAAUUGGUAUAUCUUCUGUGUAUGGCUCUUUGUUUUCAUUACAAAAACUUCCUUACUUACUAAUGCUAGAAAUUUUCUGCCUUUGAUGAUACAUUUCCCUGCUUUUUCUGUGUCCUUUUACAUAAAGUAUGUCUCCUGUAAAGAGCGUGUAGUUACAUUUUGUUAUUUUAAUCCAAUUCAGCAAUAUUAUUGGUUAACUGGCACACUAAGUUCAUCCAUAUUUUCAUACCAUUACAAUAUAUUUGGAUGUGAGUCUACUCUUUUAUAUUUCAUUUUUAAUGUGUGAAAUCUG
rnacentral:lncRNA from 10 species